AAAUUUGUAGGUCAACACACUUUGAAUAAAGUAAACAAAUCAUAUAUUGACAAGUAACAGUCAUUGGUAUAUAAAACAAAGAGUACGGAUGAAAGAACACAGCCCUGUGGAGCUCCAGUAGACGUUGAGA